rnacentral:rRNA from 1 species
GGUUAAGCGACUAAGCGUACACGGUGGAUGCCCUGGCAGUCAGAGGCGAUGAAGGACGUGCUAAUCUGCGAUAAGCGUCGGUAAGGUGAUAUGAACCGUUAUAACCGGCGAUUUCCGAAUGGGGAAACCCAGUGUGUUUCGACACACUAUCAUUAACUGAAUCCAUAGGUUAAUGAGGCGAACCGGGGGAACUGAAACAUCUAAGUACCCCGAGGAAAAGAAAUCAACCGAGAUUCCCCCAGUAGCGGCGAGCGAACGGGGAGCAGCCCAGAGCCUGAAUCAGUGUGUGUGUUAGUGGAAGCGUCUGGAAAGGCGCGCGAUACAGGGUGACAGCCCCGUACACAAAAAUGCACAUGCUGUGAGCUCGAUGAGUAGGGCGGGACACGUGGUAUCCUGUCUGAAUAUGGGGGGACCAUCCUCCAAGGCUAAAUACUCCUGACUGACCGAUAGUGAACCAGUACCGUGAGGGAAAGGCGAAAAGAACCCCGGCGAGGGGAGUGAAAAAGAACCUGAAACCGUGUACGUACAAGCAGUGGGAGCACGCUUAGGCGUGUGACUGCGUACCUUUUGUAUAAUGGGUCAGCGACUUAUAUUCUGUAGCAAGGUUAACCGAAUAGGGGAGCCGAAGGGAAACCGAGUCUUAACUGGGCGUUAAGUUGCAGGGUAUAGACCCGAAACCCGGUGAUCUAGCCAUGGGCAGGUUGAAGGUUGGGUAACACUAACUGGAGGACCGAACCGACUAAUGUUGAAAAAUUAGCGGAUGACUUGUGGCUGGGGGUGAAAGGCCAAUCAAACCGGGAGAUAGCUGGUUCUCCCCGAAAGCUAUUUAGGUAGCGCCUCGUGAAUUCAUCUCCGGGGGUAGAGCACUGUUUCGGCAAGGGGGUCAUCCCGACUUACCAACCCGAUGCAAACUGCGAAUACCGGAGAAUGUUAUCACGGGAGACACACGGCGGGUGCUAACGUCCGUCGUGAAGAGGGAAACAACCCAGACCGCCAGCUAAGGUCCCAAAGUCAUGGUUAAGUGGGAAACGAUGUGGGAAGGCCCAGACAGCCAGGAUGUUGGCUUAGAAGCAGCCAUCAUUUAAAGAAAGCGUAAUAGCUCACUGGUCGAGUCGGCCUGCGCGGAAGAUGUAACGGGGCUAAACCAUGCACCGAAGCUGCGGCAGCGACGCUUAUGCGUUGUUGGGUAGGGGAGCGUUCUGUAAGCCUGUGAAGGUGUGCUGUGAGGCAUGCUGGAGGUAUCAGAAGUGCGAAUGCUGACAUAAGUAACGAUAAAGCGGGUGAAAAGCCCGCUCGCCGGAAGACCAAGGGUUCCUGUCCAACGUUAAUCGGGGCAGGGUGAGUCGACCCCUAAGGCGAGGCCGAAAGGCGUAGUCGAUGGGAAACAGGUUAAUAUUCCUGUACUUGGUGUUACUGCGAAGGGGGGACGGAGAAGGCUAUGUUGGCCGGGCGACGGUUGUCCCGGUUUAAGCGUGUAGGCUGGUUUUCCAGGCAAAUCCGGAAAAUCAAGGCUGAGGCGUGAUGACGAGGCACUACGGUGCUGAAGCAACAAAUGCCCUGCUUCCAGGAAAAGCCUCUAAGCAUCAGGUAACAUCAAAUCGUACCCCAAACCGACACAGGUGGUCAGGUAGAGAAUACCAAGGCGCUUGAGAGAACUCGGGUGAAGGAACUAGGCAAAAUGGUGCCGUAACUUCGGGAGAAGGCACGCUGAUACGUAGGUGAAGUCCCUCGCGGAUGGAGCUGAAAUCAGUCGAAGAUACCAGCUGGCUGCAACUGUUUAUUAAAAACACAGCACUGUGCAAACACGAAAGUGGACGUAUACGGUGUGACGCCUGCCCGGUGCCGGAAGGUUAAUUGAUGGGGUCAGCGCAAGCGAAGCUCUUGAUCGAAGCCCCGGUAAACGGCGGCCGUAACUAUAACGGUCCUAAGGUAGCGAAAUUCCUUGUCGGGUAAGUUCCGACCUGCACGAAUGGCGUAAUGAUGGCCAGGCUGUCUCCACCCGAGACUCAGUGAAAUUGAACUCGCUGUGAAGAUGCAGUGUACCCGCGGCAAGACGGAAAGACCCCGUGAACCUUUACUAUAGCUUGACACUGAACAUUGAGCCUUGAUGUGUAGGAUAGGUGGGAGGCUUNNNNNNNNNNNNNNNNNNNNNNNNNNNNNNNNNNNNNNNNNNNNNNNNNNNNNNNNNNNNNNNNNNNNNNNNNNNNNNNNAUCCGGGUUGCGGACAGUGUCUGGUGGGUAGUUUGACUGGGGCGGUCUCCUCCUAAAGAGUAACGGAGGAGCACGAAGGUUGGCUAAUCCUGGUCGGACAUCAGGAGGUUAGUGCAAUGGCAUAAGCCAGCUUGACUGCGAGCGUGACGGCGCGAGCAGGUGCGAAAGCAGGUCAUAGUGAUCCGGUGGUUCUGAAUGGAAGGGCCAUCGCUCAACGGAUAAAAGGUACUCCGGGGAUAACAGGCUGAUACCGCCCAAGAGUUCAUAUCGACGGCGGUGUUUGGCACCUCGAUGUCGGCUCAUCACAUCCUGGGGCUGAAGUAGGUCCCAAGGGUAUGGCUGUUCGCCAUUUAAAGUGGUACGCGAGCUGGGUUUAGAACGUCGUGAGACAGUUCGGUCCCUAUCUGCCGUGGGCGCUGGAGAACUGAGGGGGGCUGCUCCUAGUACGAGAGGACCGGAGUGGACGCAUCACUGGUGUUCGGGUUGUCAUGCCAAUGGCACUGCCCGGUAGCUAAAUGCGGAAGAGAUAAGUGCUGAAAGCAUCUAAGCACGAAACUUGCCCCGAGAUGAGUUCUCCCUGACUCCUUGAGAGUCCUGAAGGAACGUUGAAGACGACGACGUUGAUAGGCCGGGUGUGUAAGCGCAGCGAUGCGUUGAGCUAACCGGUACUAAUGAACCGUGAGGCUUACCCUU